rnacentral:tRNA from 1 species
GUAUAUAGCUCAAUGUUAGAGUGCUUGCCUUGCAUGCAUGAGACACUGGGAUCAAUUCUCAGCACUAAAUA